rnacentral:rRNA from 1 species
GAUGAACGCUAGCGGGAGGCUUAAACACAUGCAAGUCGAGGGGCAGCACGAGAUAGCAAUAUUUUGGUGGCGACCGGCGCACGGGUGAGUAACACGUAUGCAACCUACCUCGUACAGGGGGAUAACCCGGAGAAAUUCGGACUAAUAUCCCAUAAUAAUAUUGAAAGGCAUCUUUUAAUAUUUAAAGCUCAGGCGGUACGGGAUGGGCAUGCGGAACAUUAGCUAGUUGGUAGGGUAACGGCCUACCAAGGCUGCGAUGUUUAGGGGACCUGAGAGGGUUAUCCCCCACACUGGUACUGAGACACGGACCAGACUCCUACGGGAGGCAGCAGUGAGGAAUAUUGGUCAAUGGGCGCAAGCCUGAACCAGCCAUCCCGCGUGAAGGAAGAAGGCGCUAUGCGUCGUAAACUUCUUUUCCAGGGGGAGAAUUUUCCGGUCGUGACCGGAAUUGACGGUACUCUGGGAAUAAGCAUCGGCUAACUCCGUGCCAGCAGCCGCGGUAAGCUAGUCUACG